UACGGAGGAUCCGAGCGUUAUCCGGAUUUAUUGGGUUUAAAGGGUGCGUAGGCGGCCUAUUAAGUCAGGGGUGAAAGACGGUAGCUUAACUAUCGCAGUGCCUUUGAUACUAUUAGUCUUGAAUUCUGUUGAGGUAGGCGGAAUAAGUCAUGUAGCGGUGAAAUGCUUAGAUAUGACUUAGAACACCAAUUGCGAAGGCAGCUUGCUAAACAGAUAUUGACGCUGAGGCACGAAAGCGUGGGGAUCAAACAGG
rnacentral:rRNA from 1 species